rnacentral:lncRNA from 1 species
UAAAAACGAUUUAACACCCUUUUAUGAAAUUAGAUUAUCAGGAUUUAGAUAAUUCAAAACCAUGUGAUUCAUGCAAAAAAAGUUCUGUGUUGAACUGAAGGAGUGAAGAAAAAAAUAACCAGACACAUUUAAGUCAAAUUUGAUCGAAGCACAACUUUAUCUUGAGGAUUAAUAAAAACAUUCAAAUGAUAAUCAAACCUCCAAGUAUACAAGAUAAAUUUGUUGAAGCGAGAGUUUUACUGAGAUACCUGAAAGAUAGAAACGAAUUGGAGCUGAAAUUGAUUUUGGGAGUUGGAACCAGAGAAAUGAAGAGCAGGGGAAAAGUAAAUGCUGAUAUGAGAAGCUGAAAAUUAAAAUUAAGACAUCGUAUUGGAAUUGAACUGUAGAAAACUAGAAAAUCAUCUCCUACCUUUCAAUGAAAAAAAAAAGAAAAAGCAAACAAAACUGAAUUAACAUUAUUAUGUUUAAAAAAAAAACAAAGAUGUAUUCAUAAAAUAAAUAUUGGGACGGAGUUUAUUAUAUAUAACAUGUUUGUUUUAAUAGAUAUAUCUAAGUUUCGAUUUAUAAAAAACUUAAAGUAUGAACUCAUGCAAAAUUGGUUGCAGUCAUUAAGAAUUAACUUCCACACCUAAAACAUCCAAGAUAACACGUUACGUAAUUUUCAUGCGUGAUGCUGAAUGAAGAGAAAGAAGAACAAUCUUACACGACGAGGACAAAAAGGAAACUAAAAGAAACCUGUUUUGAAACGUUGGAGCUUGAGAUGCACACGCGAGUGGGAUAAAAGAUAAAGCAUAUGAUUAAUAGUAAAACACUCUAGAGGGU